rnacentral:rRNA from 1 species
UGGGGAAUAUUGGACAAUGGACCAAAAGUCUGAUCCAGCAAUUCUGUGUGCACGAUGACGGUCUUAGGAUUGUAAAGUGCUUUCAAUCGGGAAAAAGAAAGUGAUGGUACCGAUAGAAGAAGCGACGGCUAAAUACGUGCCAGCAGCCGCGGUAAUACGUAUGUCGCAAGCGUUAUCCGGAUUUAUUGGGCGUAAAGCGCGUCUAGGCGGUCUGGUAAGUCUGAUGUGGAAAUGCGGGGCUCAACUCCGUAUUGCGUUGGAAACUGCCAGACUAGAGUACUGGAGAGGUGGGCGGAACUACAAGUGUAGAGGUGAAAUUCGUAGAUAUUUGUAGGAAUGCCGAUAGAGAAGUCAGCUCACUGGACAGAUACUGACGCUGAAGCGCGAAAGCAUGGGGAGC